AGAUUGAACGCUGGCGGCAUGCUUUACACAUGCAAGUCGAACGGUAACAGGCCGCAAGGCGCUGACGAGUGGCGAACGGGUGAGUAAUGUAUCGGAACGUGCCCAGUCGUGGGGGAUAACGCAGCGAAAGCUGCGCUAAUACCGCAUACGAUCUAUGGAUGAAAGCGGGGGACCGUAAGGCCUCGCGCGAUUGGAGCGGCCGAUAUCAGAUUAGGUAGUUGGUGGGGUAAAGGCUCACCAAGCCAACGAUCUGUAGCUGGUCUGAGAGGACGACCAGCCACACUGGGACUGAGACACGGCCCAGACUCCUACGGGAGGCAGCAGUGGGGAAUUUUGGACAACGGGCGCAAGCCUGAUCCAGCAAUGCCGCGUGCAGGAAGAAGGCCUUCGGUUGUAAAACGUGUCUUUUGUACGGAACGAAACGGUCCUGGUUAAUACCUGGGACUAAUGACGGUAACCGUAAGAAGUAAGCACCGGACUAACUACGU
rnacentral:rRNA from 1 species